AUAAUCUCAAGGCAAACUGAGGGAGGGAGUCGGAAAACAGAUGGUGUCCAUCUUCACUCGGCAAGUGUUAAACACAGACUAGUGAUUGUCUUAUAAACGUUCGAGACGGCCCUGUCCUGGAAGCUGGUGCAGCCCUGUCGCUGCUGCCAUGGCAACUGCCUGGCCCUCCCUCCAGCCUGUGACCGCUGGAGCGUGACUCCCACCACGGCUCUGGGAAGCCCAGUUUCACACUGUGUUGCAGUCUCUGGACAUCCUAAGGGGAGCCGUGUCUUCUGCAGCUAUUUGGGGUCUGAAGCCAUUGCUCUGCGUAGGUGCUGCUCAGAGGAUUCCGGUUGCUUCCUUGGGCUGGGUGCUCAUGUAUCCUAGGGGUGUGAUGUUUCCUGUUCCUCUGUCAUUGUGUGACUCCUACGGUGGAAAAAUUAACUAUAGGCAUGGAGGCACACUGGAGAUGUGAAGGCGAGGCUCCUGGCUUUGUGUUGAUGUUGGAUCCUGUUGCUUCCGCUGGUGAGGAUGUAAAUGAAUUCACAACGGUUAACACCUCCCAGCUCACGGGCCUUCUGUUUUCUUCUCACCACAUCGAUCCGAUGUUUGUGGUCUCUCAGUCUCUCGCAGGCGUUCGCCUCAGAUGCCCCAGCACCAAGGAGCCCUUGGGUGGGAAUGGUGCAAGGUACAGCCCAGAGGCACACACUCGGCCUCAGGGACAUGCUCCACAGGAAGAAUUCCAGCCCAGAGCUCACUCCAUCUGCCACACAAUGGGCCGUCCACCACCUGACCCCUGGUAGUGAGGACCAACACCAGGCAAAGCAGUUGCCAUCACGUGUGGCCAGUUUAUCAAGCCCUCUGAGGUCACCCUCGCUCUUGCUCGUUGGUUUUCCUCCUUGGAUUCAACUUUCUGUUAUUGCUUUUGUUCAGAAAGCCCUUACUAAAGACGUGGCCAUGUUCGGUGUUUGAGCAGAAUAUCUCUGCUUUGAAAUUGCAGUUCGAUUCCACGCUUUUCUUACGACAUUCAUUUACACAGAAAGGAAACGUACAGAUGCAUAUGUAUAUGUAGCAGGAAGAAAAUUUGCUAUUUUGAGGCUUGACAGAAAAGAG
rnacentral:lncRNA from 1 species